rnacentral:rRNA from 1 species
GGGAAUCUGCCCUUCGGUUGGGAAUAACACAGAGAAAUUUGUGCUAAUACCUUAUAAUGUCUUCGGACCAAAGAUUUAUCGCCGAGGGAUGAGCCCGCGUAGGAUUAGGUAGUUGGUGGGGUAAUGGCCUACCAAGCCGACGAUCCUUAGCUGGUCUGAGAGGAUGAUCAGCCACACUGGGACUGAGACACGGCCCAGACUCCUACGGGAGGCAGCAGUGGGGAAUAUUGGACAAUGGGCGAAAGCCUGAUCCAGCAAUGCCGCGUGAGUGAUGAAGGCCUUAGGGUUGUAAAGCUCUUUUACCAGGGAUGAUAAUGACAGUACCUGGAGAAUAAGCUCCGGCUAACUCCGUGCCAGCAGCCGCGGUAAUACGGAGGGAGCUAGCGUUGUUCGGAAUUACUGGGCGUAAAGCGCGCGUAGGCGGCUGUUCAAGUCAGAGGUGAAAGCCCGGGGCUCAACCCCGGAACUGCCUUUGAAACUAGAUAGCUAGAAUCAUGGAGAGGUCAGUGGAAUUCCGAGU